UUUUUUUUUCUUUUUUUUUUUUUGGCUUGGGUCCCACUGGACUCUUCCCUGCCUAUAAAAGGCUAAAGCCUUCUGCAUUAGGAUGCAAGAGAGAAAUUAGCAAUAGACGACUCCACAUAUAAAUUAUUAGAAAUGGGGAUAAUGAAAGAGUGUUGGAUAUUGGUGAUGAUUUUACUAUUGCGAGGGAGUUGGUGCUCUGAUGGUUGUUUGGAGCAUGAGAGAAUUGCUCUUUUGCAACUCAAGUUUGAGUUCUUUUCUUCUUCUUAUGAGAUGCCUUCCAGGGGUUUAUUUUAUGGUUCUCGUGAUUAUGAUUAUGAUAUGGCUCUUUGGGGUGUAAAUACUGACUGCUGUAAUUGGGGAGGGGUAAAGUGCAACACCACCACAGGGCAUGUUGUGGAACUCUCUCUUGUGGGUAUAAGAAGAGGAGGAGAUUGGUAUCUAAAUGCUUCUUUGUUUCUACCCUUUCAACAACUGAAGAAUCUUUCCUUACCGGGAAAUAAUAUAGCUGGUUGCAUUAAAAAUGAAGGUCCAUCAAUUUCAUUAUUAUAACAUUUGCAAAUUGUUUGAAAUGCACUUAAUGAGCUUUUUCCCUUCCCUUAGUUAUUUAUUUCUUUAUUAAAUUUAUUUAAUGUUUAACUACAACUCUUUGUAUAGGUUUUGAAAGGUUAUCAGUACUUGACAAUUUGGAGCUUCUUGAUUUGGGUUUCAAUUAUUUCAACAACAACAUCUUAUCAUCUCUAAGUGGUCUUUCAUCUUUAAAAUUUUUAUAUCUAUAUGAAAAUAGAUUGAAAGGAAUAAUUAA
rnacentral:misc_RNA from 1 species